rfam:Anopheles arabiensis strain DONG5_A unplaced genomic scaffold supercont1.98, whole genome shotgun sequence.
AAUAAAUGAAAAUGAGUAUCAGGAAGUACGCCGCCGCUACCAAUGGAUUCAAUGAUACCAGGCAUUGUGCCAGUGUGUCUCCACCUCCUACUCCUACUCAAUACAACCUCGUCGUACAGAACGUUAACAUGUCUCUCAACUAUUCAAGCUUGGGUAUACGGGGUAACCCAUCUGUGGGCGAAUGGGUUGCAUGGCUAAAUUGAUAGGC